rnacentral:rRNA from 1 species
AUUGAACGCUGGCGGAAUGCUUUACACAUGCAAGUCGAACGGCAGCACGGGGGCAACCCUGGUGGCGAGUGGCGAACGGGUGAGUAAUACAUCGGAACGUGCCCAAUCGUGGGGGAUAACGUAGCGAAAGCUACGCUAAUACCGCAUACGAUCUACGGAUGAAAGCGGGGGAUCGCAAGACCUCGCGCGAAUGGAGCGGCCGAUGGCAGAUUAGGUAGUUGGUGGGGUAAAGGCUCACCAAGCCAACGAUCUGUAGCUGGUCUGAGAGGACGACCAGCCACACUGGGACUGAGACACGGCCCAGACUCCUACGGGAGGCAGCAGUGGGGAAUUUUGGACAAUGGGCGAAAGCCUGGCGCAGCCAUACCGCGUGUGUGAAGAAGGCCUCGGUUGUAAG